rnacentral:rRNA from 1 species
UACGUAGGGCGCAAGCGUUAUCCGGAAUUAUUGGGCGUAAAGAGCUCGUAGGCGGUCUGCUGCGUCGGCUGUGAAAACCCGGGGCUCAACUCCGGGCCUGCAGCCGAUACGGGCAGACUAGAGUUCGGCAGGGGAGACUGGAAUUCCUGGUGUAGCGGUGAAAUGCGCAGAUAUCAGGAGGAACACCGGUGGCGAAGGCGGGUCUCUGGGCCGAUACUGACGCUGAGGAGCGAAAGCGUGGGGAGCGAACAGG